UCAUUGUUGUAUUAUUAUUGUGUGCAUAAAAACAUUAAUAGUACAAUUUUCAAAAAACCAAAAUUAUUAGAUGUUUCUGUUUUGUCAAGAGGUAUCAGAAUGUAAAUUAUCUAAUAUAAGCUAUUGAUUUUUCAAUAACUCUACUUUCAUACCUUUAUAUGCAAAGCAAUAUGCAAUGCAUAUCUAUAUAUAUAAGUACCCCCUCUUCUUCAAUUUUCGACAAUAUGACUGUAUGACAAUACGACAGCUAAAAUACGCUGAAAGUUCGACUCAGUCCAACUAUCAGCGAAGCACGCCAAAUACGAAAUAUAAAAUUAACAUCAUGAUGGUAAAAUAUAUUUUGAAUAAAAUAAAAAUGGAAAAUAUUAAUUUUUAAUAGGAUAUAAAAAUAUUGAAACAAAAUUGAUAUAUGUCUAGUAUAUAUAUGAUAACAAUACUAAGGUUAGAUUAAUUUAUUUAAUAGUAUUCUUUUUUUUGUAUUUUUUGUAGGAAAUUUUAGAAAUGUCGUACACCUGUGGUGUGUGCGAAACAAUUUGUAGUGAACAAGAAAUGUCUUCCCAUUCGUGUCUAGAGGGUUAUAAUUACUGGCAAAUAGAUAAAAAUUUAUAUUUUUAUCUUCAAACCGGUGAGUGUAUAUGUGAUACAUAUUUUUGUAUUAUAUAUUAAAUGUUACUAGUAUUCAAGAAUUAAUGUAAUAUACAGACGAUGGAAAAAUCAUCCGUAAAAGUUUGGUGAAUGAUGUAGAAACAAUUGUUAUGGAAGAUAACCAAAUUCCAAACAAAGAAACUGAUACUGUAAAUAAUUGGCGAAAUUAAAAAAUCAUGGAAGAGAAACAUUUAAUAGAAGAAAUUUAUAAACGUCCUCCAUUAUGGAAUUUUAAGCUUCCUCUCGUUCAAAGAGGUCUGCAAAUUAAAAAAAAAACUAUGGGAAGAGGUAGCUGCAUCAAUGGAUGGUAACAUCGAAUAGUUGUAAUUUAACUUGAUUAAUGUUGGAUUAAAAUUUGUAAUGUAAAUGUUUUUUUUCUUUUCUAGGUAACAUGGAUGUCCAAACUAUUAAAAAAAAGUGGAAAUCACUGUGUGAUACCUUUAGAAUUCAUUACAAAAAUAAGCAGCAUUAACGGAGUGGCUCAGCAAGAACAUUAAAUAAAAAAGAAUGAAUUCAUUAUAAACAGAUGCAAUUUCUUUGUGAUGUGCAGCUGGAAAGCAAGUAUGUAUACGAUUUUACGAACAUAAGAAUGUAUUUUAAUGCAGUAGUGCAUUUUUGUUUACAAUUUAUUGAUACAAAUUAAAUCAAAAUUAUAUAUUACAGAACUGUAACAAAUAUUCCAACAACGGAGGUUCAUGAUAUUGAUCAAUAUACUGAUAAUGAAAAUAUUAAUGAUAUUAUCAGUAACAGUAGUGGAUCGCUGCAGUAUGACUGUUAAAAUGUAGAACAACGUAUAUACAGGGUAUCUCAAAACAUGUGGGUCAACGCUUGUAAAAAGGUAAUUUUCGAGAUAUAAAUAUUUAAAACUGAAUCACAAAUUUAAGAACAUCCUAUAUAAAAAGCUUUGUACUUGCUACGUCACCAUAUUCAUCAUUAUUAAUCAUUUCAAAGUUUUCAGUUAAAGAAGAGAUAGGUAACAUAGCCAGUUUUUAUGGUAUGUUUGGUUGAUCUUGAACACAUUUUAAAAUUUCAUGCAACAGUGCAUUUGUCUUGCUGUAAAAACAAAGGAAAUAUACAAAUUCAAUGUCAUGGAGAUAUCGAGCAUUAAUAAAUGAAAUAUACAAAAAACAGCUUCCACUACGCCGAUGGCUCCGACGGCAUUAUAUAUUACAAGAGAAUGGGGAAUCCAAAUUUGAAAGAAGUUUUAGACAAUAAUCAUAUAGCAUUAUAAUCAAGAAGACAUUCAUUCAAGCUAAUAUCAAGUAAGGAACAGCAUGUCCUUGAAUAAGCGUGUAUUAAAAAAUUAUUUAAGGUAAGAAAGCCCCUCUCCUCUAUAAUU
rnacentral:lncRNA from 1 species